rnacentral:lncRNA from 1 species
CAACAACCAUGUGGCCACAAGCAUGACUUUAAGAACGGAACAGAAAUGAAGGAGAAAAAAAGAAAAGACUUGCCUAGACAAACAAAAGCUGAGGGAGUUCAUCACAACUAGAACUGCCUUACAAGAAAUGCUACAGGAAGCUCUUUGAGUUGAAAUGAAAGGAUGCGAAGUAGCAACAUGAACACAUGUGAAAGUAUAAAACUUACUGGUAAAGGCAGCCACGUGGCCGGUUAUGAAGCGAUGACAGGGAACUUGGGCAGGAGGUGAAGAGAAGAAGAGAAUAGGAGGCCCGACUGUGGGUUCAACCCCACCAACAUCCACUGCAGCCCUCUGUGUUCCAGGCACCAGACCAGGCACCGUGGAUGAGAGAGAUGGAGUAGACUCGGUCCCGACCCUCAGCGAUCUCCCGGCCUGACAGUGGGGACAACUCAGGGCAUGUGUAGAAGAGGAGCCAGAGAGAGGUCCUUAGAGAUCUUGAGUUUGGGGUCUCCAAGGCUUGAAGGGCACCCAAGGCCCCCUCCCACCCAACCGCACUUAACUGCAGAAAGUUUCAAGUCCAGUCAAGCAUAUUCCAUCUUUCCCAAAACCUUGGUCACCCAGCAAGAGGGCCUCAGACUGUCCAGACUCCGAAGCCUUGGGGCAUUCCCCAUUAGGACAGCACCCAGCACCCAUUGUCACCCCCAUGAGUCUCCUGCAGCACAAGACAAAUGACUUGACAUCUACCCCAAACAGAGGGGUGACUGGUAAAGGUGGGCCAAAGACCAGUCUAAUGUGUACCCUCUCCCAGCUAUGCCCUGAAAAUGGGAAAAUGAAAUGCAU